AACGAACGCUGGCGGCAUGCCUAACACAUGCAAGUCGAACGAGACCUUCGGGUCUAGUGGCGCACGGGUGCGUAACGCGUGGGAACCUGCCCUUAGGUUCGGAAUAACUCCCCGAAAGGGGUGCUAAUACCGGAUAAUGUCUUCGGACCAAAGAUUUAUCGCCUUUGGAUGGGCCCGCGUUGGAUUAGCUAGUUGGUAGGGUAAAAGCCUACCAAGGCGACGAUCCAGAGCUGGGCGGAGAGGAUGAUACACCACAAUGGGACUGAGACCCGGCCCAGACUCCGACGGAAGGGAGGAGGAGAGUAUAUAAGACACUGGAGGCAAGCCUGAUCCAGCAACGCCGCGGAAGACGUGAAGGCAUUUGGAUUCUAAAGCUGUCUUACCCGGGAUGAUAAUGACAGUACCGGGUGAAUAAGCUCCGGCUAACUCCGUG
rnacentral:rRNA from 1 species